rnacentral:lncRNA from 1 species
GGCAGUCUGAGGAUCCACACAGCCUGGACAGAGACAUUGGCAGCUCCACAGCACUCACGUUUUGAUGGAGUCAGGACCUUCUAUAUGGCACACAUCAGCACCUCGAGGAACCACAGAGAUUGUGUAAAACAGAACUCUGAAAAUGCGGAUGGAACAUGAAGCUGUAUGCUUAUGGAUAGGCCCAAUUCAGAAAUACCAGAGAUGCCAUAUCCAGAAAGGGAAGGAAGCACUGUAACUAAGUGUGUUCCUACGACCGGGGCUAGAAGGUUAGGUGCAGUGAAAACUGUCAGCCUUCCUGCCUCUACCCCCA